UCAUGUGUGUACUUUUAUUGGAAACACGAGUAAUAAAAUUCAGUGCAUCUCUUGCACAAUAAACAUUUAGGGCCCGUUCGUUGACCCUUAUUUACGCAUAAUAGAUGCCAAAACUGUUCAAUUCACACGGUUUGGUGUUCAUUUGUUACAUCUGCUUGCCCCGUCAUAUAGCUACCGGCCCACACUGUUUACGCAUUUUUUAGUCGAAUACAAAUCACGGAAGCCAGCCAAUAUUUGAAAUCUGGCCCUCUACAGUAACCCUGAUUUGGCACCCAAAAUUCCAAGUUUGAUCCUCAAUUAUUCGAAACCCACCCAGACCACACAUUCUCUCCCAUUUCUUCAAUACGCCAUCUGACUGUCUCUCUCUACCACUCACUCUCUCUAUCUAUCUCCUUCUACCCCUCUCUCUGCCCAACACAAGAGGAUUCGCUGCGGAUUGUAGUUCGACACCGGCGACGCCACCGCACAUCAGGCGGUAGCAUAAUAGUGUGAAGUUACAAUUCGUCCGCUGAAUCUCGUACCCAGCGCACGAAAAAUAUCGAUCGUUGUUUUUCUUUUUAAUUUGUAGGUGUCUCUGUCAUAACCCUUUGAUAACUUUCUCAAUUUUCUCAGAUCUGUGUUGAUCCGACCUUGUGUGCUAUCGGGACUUGACGAAUAUCAUCCGUAUCUACCGUUUCAAGAUUGGUGCUUCUGAAAUCCGUUCUGUCGACCUACAUCGAUGGUGUGCCCGAAGUCGGUUUAUAAAAGGAUGUCUUGGUGCUCUUGAUGGUACCCAUAUCAACGUGUUAGUGAGCAGUACGGACAAGCCACGAUAUCGUUCGCGUAAAGGCCAAAUAACAACAAAUACUUUGGCCGUUUGUGAUAUGAACAUGCAAUUUAUGUUCGUUCUGCCAAGGUGGGAGGGCUCAACCGGAGAUUCCUGUGUGUUACGUGACGCUGUUACACAACACGAUGGUUUAAGGGUGCCACAAGGAUGUUACUACCUCUGUGACAACGGUUAAGCCAACAGUAACGAUUUUGUCCGAUUGACACUACUAUGGCCCAUUUAUCUCUACAGCUCCGGUGACACUACUAUGGCCGAUUUGCCCGACGAACCUAUCCACGUCCAUUCGCAGUGUUUUUAUCUCUACAACAACCACUGGAAGGUGGAGGAUGACGUCCGCCUGAUAGAGUAUAUGCUCCUCAAGCAAGAAGAAGCGGAGGACGAAAGCGAAACAAUCGACUUCGGCGGAAUGUUUGCGUACGAUGCUUACGAUGAGCUCGCGACGUUGUUCACCUACCACCACGAGCCCCACUCUAUCGUCUUUGUGGCAAACUUUCCCGGUGCGAAGUGGAAGAUUCGUCAGGAGUACGUGAAGGCGAAAGAUGUAGUUUGACGUCAGAUGUUUGAGGUCCGUUCGUUCGCAAUAUCUUAAUACCUACGAGAUGAACCCGAAUACGGAGCCCUACUACAACAAUUCGGCCCAGUCACACCGAAUGAUAACGACGUUGGUGAAGUGCUUGAUCCCCCAUCUAACUGCAGUUAGAUUUGGUAAUUUCGUGAUCUUGGUUUGCAUUUUGGACAAUGUUGGCUAUUGUAUUGUUUUUGAUGGUUUCCUUCACGCGACAAACACUUUAUUCAGUUUAUAUGAUGUCGUGUUUAUUAUGGUUUAUGAAUGUUGUAUGAACUCCCUUUGCCUUUCCAUUGCAACCUUGAUGACACUAUGGUUUUUGAUGAUA